UUACGGCCACAUCACAUUGACACACCGGUUCCCAUAUGAUCACUGGUUAAGCAAUGUCAAGCCAAGUCAGUACCUAGAUGGGUGACUGCAUGGGAAUACCAGAUGCUGUAAG